rnacentral:rRNA from 1 species
GACGAACGCUGGCGGCGUGCUUAACACAUGCAAGUCGAACGGAAAGGCCCUGCUUUUGUGGGGUGCUCGAGUGGCGAACGGGUGAGUAACACGUGAGUAACCUGCCCUUGACUUUGGGAUAACUUCAGGAAACUGGGGCUAAUACCGGAUAGGAGCUCCUGCUGCAUGGUGGGGGUUGGAAAGUUUCGGCGGUUGGGGAUGGACUCGCGGCUUAUCAGCUUGUUGGUGGGGUAGUGGCUUACCAAGGCUUUGACGGGUAGCCGGCCUGAGAGGGUGACCGGCCACAUUGGGACUGAGAUACGGCCCAUACUCCUACGGGAGGCAGCAGUGGGGAAUAUUGCACGAUGGGCGGAAGCCUGAUGCAGCAACGCCGCGUGCGGGAUGACGGCCUUCGGGUUGUAAACCGCUUUCGCCUGUGACCAAGCGUGAGUGACGGUAAUGGGUAAAGAAGCACCGGCUAACUACGUGCCAGCAGCCGCGGUGAUACGUAGGGUGCGAGCGUUGUCCGGAUUUAUUGGGCGUAAAGGGCUCGUAGGUGGUUGAUCGCGUCGGAAGUGUAAUCUUGGGGCUUAACCCUGAGCGUGCUUUCGAUACGGGUUGACUUGAGGAAGGUAGGGGAGAAUGGAAUUCCUGGUGGAGCGGUGGAAUGCGCAGAUAUCAGGAGGAACACCAGUGGCGAAGGCGGUUCUCUGGGCCUUUCCUGACGCUGAGGAGCGAAAGCGUGGGGAGCGAACAGGCUUAGAUACCCUGGUAGUCCACGCUGUAAACGGUGGGUACUAGGUGUGGGGUCCAUUCCACGGGUUCCGUGCCGUAGCUAACGCUUUAAGUACCCCGCCUGGGGAGUACGGCCGCAAGGCUAAAACUCAAAGGAAUUGACGGGGCCCCGCACAAGCGGCGGAGCAUGCGGAUUAAUUCGAUGCAACGCGUAGAACCUUACCUGGGUUUGACAUGGAUCGGGAGUGCUCAGAGAUGGGUGUGCCUCUUUUGGGGUCGGUUCACAGGUGGUGCAUGGCUGUCGUCAGCUCGUGUCGUGAGAUGUUGGGUUAAGUCCCGCAACGAGCGCAACCCUUGUUCACUGUUGCCAGCACGUUAUGGUGGGGACUCAGUGGAGACCGCCGGGGUCAACUCGGAGGAAGGUGGGGAUGACGUCAAGUCAUCAUGCCCCUUAUGUCCAGGGCUUCACGCAUGCUACAAUGGCUGGUACAGAGAGUGGCGAGCCUGUGAGGGUGAGCGAAUCUCGGAAAGCCGGUCUCAGUUCGGAUUGGGGUCUGCAACUCGACCUCAUGAAGUCGGAGUCGCUAGUAAUCGCAGAUCAGCAACGCUGCGGUGAAUACGUUCCCGGG